GAAUAUACCGGUUCUCGUUAGAUCACCGAAGUCAAGCAUCAUUGGGCGCGGUCAGUACUUGGGUGGGUGACCACCUGGGAACACUGCGUGCCGUU
rnacentral:rRNA from 1 species